rnacentral:rRNA from 1 species
CCUACGGGGGGCAGCAGUAGGGAAUCUUCCACAAUGGACGAAAGUCUGAUGGAGCAACGCCGCGUGAGCGAUGAAGGCCUUCGGGUCGUAAAGCUCUGUUGUUAGGGAAGAACAAGUACCGGAGUAACUGCCGGUACCUUGACGGUACCUAACCAGAAAGCCACGGCUAACUACGUGCCAGCAGCCGCGGUAAUACGUAGGUGGCAAGCGUUGUCCGGAAUUAUUGGGCGUAAAGCGCGCGCAGGCGGUCCUUUAAGUCUGAUGUGAAAGCCCACGGCUCAACCGUGGAGGGUCAUUGGAAACUGGGGGACUUGAGUGCAGAAGAGGAAAGCGGAAUUCCACGUGUAGCGGUGAAAUGCGUAGAGAUGUGGAGGAACACCAGUGGCGAAGGCGGCUUUCU